GACGAACGCUGGCGGCGUGCUUAACACAUGCAAGUCGAACGGAAAGGCCCUGCUUUUGUGGGGUGCUCGAGUGGCGAACGGGUGAGUAACACGUGAGUAACCUGCCCUUGACUUUGGGAUAACUUCAGGAAACUGGGGCUAAUACCGGAUAGGAGCUCCUGCUGCAUGGUGGGGGUUGGAAAGUUUCGGCGGUUGGGGAUGGACUCGCGGCUUAUCAGCUUGUUGGUGGGGUAGUGGCUUACCAAGGGUUUGACGGGUAGCCGGCCUGGGAGGGUGACCGGCCACAUUGGGACUGGGAUACGGCCCAGACUCCUACGGGAGGCAGCAGUGGGGAAUAUUGCACAAUGGGCGGAAGCCUGAUGCAGCAACGCCGCGUGCGGGAUGACGGCCUUCGGGUUGUAAACCGCUUUCGCCUGUGACGAAGCGUGAGUGACGGUAAUGGGUAAAGAAGCACCGGCUAACUACGUG
rnacentral:rRNA from 1 species